GACGAACGCUGGCGGCGUGCUUAACACAUGCAAGUCGAACGAAGAGCGAUGGAAGCUUGCUUCUAUCAAUCUUAGUGGCGAACGGGUGAGUAACGCGUAAUCAACCUGCCCUUCAGAGGGGGACAACAGUUGGAAACGACUGCUAAUACCGCAUACGACCUAAUCUCGGCAUCGAGGAUAGAGGAAAGGUGGCCUCUACAUGUAAGCUAUCACUGAAGGAGGGGGUUGCGUCUGAUUAGCUAGUUGGAGGGGUAACGGACCACCAAGGCGAUGAUCAGUAGCCGGUCUGAGAGGAUGAACGGCCACAUUGGGACUGAGACACGGCCCAGACUCCUACGGGAGGCAGCAGUGGGGAAUCUUCCGCAAUGGACGAAAGUCUGACGGAGCAACGCCGCGUGAGUGAUGACGGCCUUCGGGUUGUAAAGCUCUGUUAAUCGGGACGAAAGGCCUUCUUGCGAAUAGUGAGAAGGAUUGACGGUACCGGAAUAGAAAGCCACGGCUAACUACGUG
rnacentral:rRNA from 1 species